CACGUAGUUAGCCGGGACUUCUUAGUCAGGUACCGUCUUUUUUCUUCCCUGCUGAUAGAAGUUUACAUACCGAAAUACUUCUUCCUUCACGCGGCGUCGCUGCAUCAGGGUUUCCCCCAUUGUGCAAUAUUCCCCACUGCUGCCUCCCGUAGGAGUCUGGACCGUGUCUCAGUUCCAAUGUGGCCGUUCACCCUCUCAGGCCGGCUACUGAUCGCUGACUUGGUAGGCCUCUACCCCACCAACUAUCUAAUCAGACGCGGGCCCAUCCUGUACCGUCUCGGCUUUUCACACUGUAACAUGCGUUACUGUGCGCUUAUGGGGUAUUAGCAGCUGUUUCCGGCUGUUGUCCCCCUGUACAGGGCAGGUUGCCCACGCGUUACUCACCCGUCCGCCACUAAGUCGCUUACUUCUUCCUCCCGAAGGAUUUAGUUGUAAGCGCUUCGUUCAACUUGCAUGUGUUAGGCACGCCGCCAGCGUUCAUCCUGAGCCAGGAUCAAACUCU
rnacentral:rRNA from 1 species